CACCGGCAGCUCUAGUGGUAGCAAUUUUUAUUGGGCCUAAAGCGUCCGUAGCCGGUUUAAUAAGUCUCUGGUGAAAUCCUGCAGCUUAACUGUGGGAAUUGCUGGAGAUACUAUUAGACUUGAGACCGGGAGAGGUUAGAGGUACUCCCAGGGUAGAGGUGAAAUUCUGUAAUCCUGGGAGGACCGCCUGUUGCGAAGGCGUCUAACUGGAACGGUUCUGACGGUGAGGGACGAAAGUUAGGGGCGCGAACCGG
rnacentral:rRNA from 1 species